CCUCUAGAUAAAUUCACUGACGAGAGCUCCUUGAGCACUCACCUCAGAUCUAGCAUAAGUUAAAUUUUCUCCUGAGUCUUAUCUUCUCUGCACUUGGUUCAAUAGCUUCCUCUUGUGAGGAGGGUCUUUGAAUGAUGCUACCUUCCUUCCUUGGUGGUUGAUAUGGUUUGGCCAUAUCCCAAAUGUCAUCUUGAAUAGUAGUUCCCAUCUGACAACCAUAGCUUUAUAGCAAACAAUUCCAGUAUUUGUGUCAUCUGUCAUAACCCAAGCUGAGCUUGUCUUAGUUUUCUCUGCAUCUGUGAGCUUUCUGAUGCCAGUAUGGAUAUUUCAGUCCUUUUUUGCCCACACCCUCCCCACCCCCUUCCC
rnacentral:lncRNA from 1 species